CACCCCCAUUUUUUCAUUUCACGUUUUUCUUGCCCUAGCUUCUUCCUUCGACAACUCUCUCUCUCUCACCUCUGGCUCUCUCACUUAAAUGGGGGCGAGCAACGAUCGGAGAUUGGCAACAGUGGCGGUGAGCAGCGAUCGAAGCCUCAAUUGGAAGUUUUGUUGCUAGGAUAUUUGAUCAUGCACUGGAAGACUCAAAUUCAAAAUCAGGCCUUGUACACUCUUUAUCUAUAUGUAUAUCUUUGUUGGAUCCAAAAAGAUCAAUUCCUUCUAUCAUUCCUUCCGAAGUCAACACAUGUACGAGUCACCUACACCUGUUAAUCCUGAGACCGUUGGUGCAAUGCUGCCCAAGCUUGAAAGUACGGGCUAGAUGACAAUACAGUUGACUUUAUUGGCCAUGCAUUGGCACUGCAUAUAGAUGAUAGUUACUUGGACCAGUGCCAUGGAUUUUGUGAAGAGAGUUAAGCUAUAUGCAGAAUCUUUAGCUCGCUUCCAGGGAGGAUCUCCUUAUAUUAUCCACUGUAUGGACUUGGAGAACUACCUCAGGCAUUUGCUCGUUUGAGUGCCAUCUAUGGUGGAACUUACAUGCUCAACAAGCCAAAAUACAAGGGCUAAAGGCAGCACCAAGUGAGUGAUUCUUUUAACUGGAGAGGGAAAAAAUGGAUCAUUCAGUUAAUGCCAAAGAUUAAAUAAAUUCUUUAAUUUCCUGCCGAGCAAUCAGAAGUUGAAACUGAUAGUUUUCAUUAUCUUUAAAUGAUUCCCAACAAGUAGCAAAAGAGGAAGAGGAUGUUAUGCAUGGAAUGAAAACAGGAUGGGUAAAAGGACAAGUGCUUAUGGAUCAUCAAAUACCUUGCAAAUUCAAGGAAAUUUACAAGAUGGCUGCACCAACAGAAGGCUAUAUAGACUAGCCAAAAACACAAAAUAAUCUGCUAUUUCUGUAAACAAGUUUGGUUGAUUUGAGGACCUGAGAUGAAUGUGUGGCAGCACCACAUAUGAUUGAUUAAGAAAUGGUUAUAAGUUGGGUUGGGCUGGGUGUUUAACAAAAUGGGUUAAGUGGGUGCUCAGGAAG